rnacentral:lncRNA from 1 species
GGUGACCUCUGCAUUCCACGGGACAUGAUGCUGGCCUUCUACAGUGCUGAUCAGACCUAGUAAGCACAAAGUCGCAAAUAUCCCAGACACCCUGACCACAGACACACAUGUAUACCAAGGACAGGAAUAAAUACCUAAAACUGUAAGGCACUGCCACCUUCUUAGAUGUCUUGGUGAGAGGUCCACUGUUCAGAGGGCACACUGAGAUAUAAGGCGAAGGCCUUUUUGGAUCUGUAGUGUGCUACCUCUUUAAUGGGAAAUCUUAGAGGCUAUCAGUAUUGAAUGGUGACCAGAGGAAAAUACUGCUCUACAUAUAGGUCUGGGCUGUCAUACAAACUGAUCUGCUACUGGGGCCUCAUGACCUAGCAGAUCCAAAAGUAUUCAACAUGUUUGUGGCAGAUGCAAAUGCUGUUUAGAACCUUCGAGAGGUCGCUGUAGAAGCACAAUGCAAAACUUCAGGAUUUUGGAGCAAAACUUUGUCAUCUUUUGCACACACAGUGUUCUCUUUUGAUAGCUCCUGGUGUGCUACUGGACCUUAGUAGAGAUAGAAUGUCUGACUCUGAGCCACUAAGUAACCAUUCAACCUCUUCUGCCCUUCAAGAACUGGGAAAUGUCUGAAAAAACAAGUAAUGAAACGUGUGUAUAGCAGCACUCCAUUACAAGUUGUAGUUUUAUAUACGAGAUUGGUCUCAAGCAAGACCUAAAGGUAAAAGUAAGAGGCUCAGAUUUGCAUGGCUCCUCCUCUUGCUGCAUUAACUGCUGUCUCUCAACGCAAGCAUACUGUAACAUAUUGAUGGAGGAGGAAAAUGCUGAGUCUCGUUUACUGAUAAUUCUAUGUAACAUGCUGGCAUCACCUAAAGUGGAGAACUGCGAGAUUACUGCCCCAUCCAAGAAAACCCUUCAGCAGCCCCAUUCUUCAGGAACCGUGAAGGACUAUGGCAAAGAGAUGAUAAAUAGCCAAAGACGUCAAUGGCACCCAUGGACAUAGUAAGCAUAGUAGGAGCUGAAAAACUAGAAGCAAUGACAAUGUCAACUAUUUUGAGCAAAAAGAAGCAGUGUCUUCGGAACAUUUGAUCAUAAAACCAGAAAUUAAAGGAUGAGAAAAACA